UACUAGAGUAGCACUCGCAUAUCAAUAAGCGGAGGAAAAGAAACUAACAAGGAUUCCCCUAGUAACGGCGAGUGAAGCGGGAAGAGCUCCAAUUUGAAAUCUUAAAGGGUUUCCCUUUACGAAUUGUAGUUUAAAGAAGUGUUUUCUGUUGAGGUUUUGGUAAAAGUUCUUUGGAAUAGGACAUCAUAGAGGGUGAGAAUCCCGUAUUUGACCUUUACUUUCAACUUUGUGAUACACCUUCAAAGAGUCGGAUUGUUUGGGAAUGCAGUCCAAAAUGGGUGGUAAAUUUCAUCUAAAGCUAAAUAUUGGCGAGAGACCGAUCGCGAACAAGUACCGUGAGGGAAAGAUGAAAAGAACUUUGAAAAGAGAGUUAAACAGUACGUGAAAUUGUCAAAAGGGAAGCGUUUGACACCAGUGUUGUUUUUCUGAAAAUCAAUUAAAGAACUGUUUAUGCUAAGUUGUUUAGACUUUAUCAGCUAACUGUUUAGUUUUGAGCUUUUCUUUAAUGCACUUUUCAGUUAACAAGUCAACAUCAAUUUCUUUUGCUGUAAAAAAGCUUGAGGAAGGUGGCUUGAGAUUCGUCUUAAGUGUUUAUAGCCUCUUGCCUAUGCAGUCGGAGAGAUUAAGGUCUGCAGCGUAGAUCCUUCGGGGCUAAAUGCAUUUGUGCUAAGUUAUAGCAUUUUAUAGACAACUUGUUGACUAUGAUUUGUCUUGUAGCUUACUCGCUUAUGUUAUUUUACCUACGCUUAGGAUGUUGAGCGCAUGUCUCUCUCU
rnacentral:rRNA from 1 species